rnacentral:rRNA from 1 species
AGAGUUUGAUCCUGGCUCAGAGCGAACGCUGGCGGCACGCCUAACACAUGCAAGUCGAGCGAGAAAGUGACUUCGGUCGCGAGUAAAGCGGCGAACGGGUGAGUACAACGUGGAUAAUCUACCCUAAGGUCUGGGACAACCCCGAGAAAUCGGGGCUAAUACCGGAUAAGACCACAGUAUCCAAGGAUACAGCGGUAAAAGAUUUAUCGCCUUUGGAUGAGUCCACGCCCCAUCAGGUAGUUGGUAAGGUAAAGGCUUACCAAGCCUAAGACGGGUAGCCGGCCUUAGCGGGUGAACGGCCACAUGGGGACUGAGACACGGCCCUGACUCCUACGGGAGGCAGCAGUGGGGAAUAUUGGGCAAUGGGCGAAAGCCUGACCCAGCGAUGCCGCGUGAGGGAUGAAGGCCUUCGGGUUGUAAACCUCUGUCAGGAGGGACGAUGGGACUUUGUCUUGACGGUACCUCCAGAGGAAGCCCCGGCUAACUCCGUGCCAGCAGCCGCGGUAAUACGGAGGGGGCAAGCGUUGCUCGGAAUUACUGGGCGUAAAGGGUCCGCAGGCUGUCAGGCAAGUUGGUUGUGAAAUCCCAAGGGCUUAACCUUGGAAUUGCAUCCAAAACUGCCUGACUAGAGUCCAAGAGAGGUUGGCCGGAAUUCCC